rnacentral:rRNA from 1 species
CCUGAUCCAGCAAUGCCGCGUGAGUGAAGAAGGCCUUCGGGUUGUAAAGCUCUUUUGUCAGGGAAGAAAAGGCUACGGAUAAUACCUGUGGCUCAUGACGGUACCUGAAGAAUAAGCACCGGCUAACUACGUGCCAGCAGCCGCGGUAAUACGUAGGGUGCAAGCGUUAAUCGGAAUUACUGGGCGUAAAGCGUGCGCAGGCGGUUUUGUAAGACUGUCGUGAAAUCCCCGGGCUCAACCUGGGAAUGGCGAUGGUGACUGCAAGGCUAGAGUUUGGCAGAGGGGGGUAGAAUUCCACGUGUAGCAGUGAAAUGCGUAGAUAUGUGGAGGAACACCGAUGGCGAAGGCAGCCCCCUGGGUCAAAACUGACGCUCAUGCACGAAAGCGUGGGGAGCAAACAGGAUUAGAUACCCUGGUAGUCCACGCCCUAAACGAUGUCUACUAGUUGUCGGGUUUUAAUUGACUUGGUAACGCAGCUAACGCGUGAAGUAGACCGCCUGGGGAGUACGGUCGCAAGAUUAAAACUCAAAGGAAUUGACGGGGACCCGCACAAGCGGUGGAUGAUGUGGAUUAAUUCGAUGCAACGCGAAAAACCUUACCUACCCUUGACAUGGAUGGAAUCCCUUGGAGAG